rnacentral:rRNA from 1 species
CGCGUAGGCGGCGGGUCAAGUCGAGUGUGAAAGCCCCGGGCUCAACCUGGGAAUUGCGCUCGAGACUGGUCUGCUUGAGUUCGGGAGAGGAGAGUGGAAUUCCCAGUGUAGAGGUGAAAUUCGUAGAUAUUGGGAAGAACACCGGUGGCGAAGGCGGCUCUCUGGACCGAUACUGACGCUGAGGCGCGAAAGCGUGGGGAGCAAACA